CAGUAUUGUCGUAUCAUCUGUAGUUAGGCUGUUAUCAAUAAGUCCCUCAACUGUUGAACCCCUCCCUCCCCAUGAACCCCUUAACCGUGUAUUUUAACCAUAUGUGGUUCCCUCUGGAUUUAACCGGGGGAGGAGAGAGAGAAGAUUGAAAAAAAAAUACUGGCUUAGUUCCAACUCCUCACUGGCAGUGCCUCCAUCUGUGUAGCACCCCCUUCUGUUUGCUUACCACUCUCUUUCUGGCUGUGUGCAAGCCCCUCCCCUAACUGAGCUACUGCCUAUAUCUUACUUGCUGUUUGCACUUAGUUGUCCUCCUUCCAAGGUGGCUACAUGCUGUAGCCAGGGGGUUCACGUUUUAACAAAUGUCACUGACCUAUCAUUUUGGGGCGGCUGUAUCAAACUCACCCAUUUUGCCAUGAGUUUUUGUAGGGGGCUGCUUGCCCCUGGGAUUUAUUGCCCUUUAAGAACGUAUUUGGGCAUAAUGGAUUUUUGUGCUGCUACUGGCCCUUUAAGCACAGCGUAUGGACUUCUAUUGGACUGUGCAUGCCCCUUUAAGACGGUGUCCCCAGACUUGUUGGGUACAAUGCCCCUUUAAGACGGUGUCCCCAGUGUCCCCAAACCUUUAAUACCACAUGGUUCAGUAAAUGGGGCUUAGUAUUACACAGGCGGACCACCCAGAAGUGGAAGCGUGCAGCUAAUUUACCUCCCAGGCUGGGAGCCUUCUGUAAGUAAAUUGCCGGCUGCUGGGGGCCGCUGUUCAUACAAACGAACACGUGGUGGCGGCGGCCAUCUUUAUUCUGACGAACACCGCUGACCCUUACCUUCUACUCCACUGUGUUUGCAGCUGCAGAGACUAAGUCCCGUUCGGUGAUGGGACUUAGUCAUUUUUUCAGUGUGAAAUAGACCGAUCGCACAGCCCAAAUCUAUGGAACUGUUUUGGGCAUGAAAAUGUGCUUGCGGUCGGUCAUAAAGGACUUCCAGCUAACUUUUUAACCCCUGGAAGGAAUUGGCUGAAUUUUGGAUAUGUGUGUAAUUAAAGUGUGCUGGGUAUUAAUAUGUAACUUUUAUGAAGAUUGAUUGUAUAUUUUUAAAGUUACAGUACAUGUGUAAAAAGUGUAUUUUUCCUGCCUGUGAUAAUUACUUUAACCCAUUGUGUUCAGUAAUUGUAUCACAAGCAUAGGGGAGG